GAUGCUUUGGGUAGCUUUUUUUUUUCUAAAGCAUUUUUGUAAAGCAAUCAUGCUUUAGUUUUUUUUUUCUUAAAUUGCGCAUCCGCACGGAUAAUAUGUUUUAUUUUUUUAUAAAUUGUUUAAUGACAUUUCUAAUUGUAUAGGUUAUUUGGAUAUUUUUAAGUUUCUACACAUCAUAACCGAUCCUCCACCUCUCAAAAAUUAUAAUAUCCAUAUGAAGCCUAAUUUUUAAACCCAAAUAUCAUGAUAUCUGAAAGAAUUGAUUCGUACCCUAACGGAUACCUAAAUACCUAUGCCUAACUGACUAUGUAAACAAAUAAAAAAUAUUUGUUAGUGGUUUUGAAUUCUUGUCACAAAUAGAACAGUUGCAUUCAAAUAUGUAGAAUUAUUAUGGUUAAGAUGUAAAAUAAAUUAUAUCAAAUUAUUAAGAUAAAGACAAUUAAUGAAGUAGUUAGGAAAAAUAUAAAAGAUGUAAUAAAACAUUUAAAAUAGAGAAACUUUGUUUUACACUUUUAUAAUAAAUGUUGUCAAAUUAUUUGGAAAAUACAAUAAAUAAAGUGGUCAAAAUGAGGAAUAUGUCAAAAUCACUUAAAAACGGUAAAUAUUAUUUUUUAAUUCAGUUUUAAUAGAAUAGAAGUUACAUCAAAAAUUUAGAAAAAAGAAUGUUAGCUCUCAAAAUCAAUUUUCUUCUACAGUUUUUAUUAGGUGCUUUUAAAAUAAAUCUACAGAAAAAAAAAUCAAGUCAAAGCAAAAAAUUCACAUCCUAUUUUCUAAAGCAGAAAAACUAAAGGUACAACACAAGCCAAUUAACCUGAUCUAUUUCUCAACUUUUGUUUUGAAGGAGAAAAGAAACAGAAUGAUGAUUUUGAUUGCACAGCCGAAAAGAAUGGAUUACAAUUAGGCAUAAACACACAUCGGAUAUUAAAAAUACACUACAAAAAAAGUCUACAUUGAUAGCACAUUGUUAUAGCACGUUUUACUGAACUGCUGUCGUAGAUGAUUUAAAUAUUUCCGUAUUAUAUUAUAGCAUUAGAUAAACGCUAUGGUAGAGUGAAACCUAAAUUAACACUUAAUUAAUGUUAUUUUAAAAAAUAAGUGUGCAGGAAUAUAAAGUCACAGAUACCGCCAACACUUAGCGAAAAAUUAGAUUUAAGCGCCAAAGAUAUUUUUUAAGCGGCUUCAACAAUGCUAUCAAAGACAUAUAAUAGCAUUUUUAUAAAGCUAAGCGGCUUCAACAAUGCUAUCAAAGACAUAUAAUGUUGAUAUUAAUCUAAUAUUUUUAAACUUAAACAUCAAUUGAUAAAAUAAAUAUCAGUUUAUUAUGUUCAAAAAAUAAAAAAUUUAGACUUAACUAUAAACUACAAAAUAUUAAUUUUGAAAUAAGAUAUAACUAAUAAAAAUCACUUACAAAACAAAUUAUCAAAUAUGGAAAGACAAAACAAAAAUAAAAACAAAAUUGUCUGGCCAAUCAGAUUAAAAUACAUGGAUCACACUUUUGAACCGUUGGAUUAACUUAGAUCUAAAGGUUAAGAUUUAUUCCUUUUAAUUUUUUUUUUCUCCUCUCGCUCUCUCUCUCAACUCCACGACACAGAUCUGGCCUUCAUGUUUUUCUCCUUCAUUCUCAUCUCUCCCAUGCCUCUCCAAGCUUACUGUUUCUCUCAUCUCUCUUAUCUCUCUCCACGCCUCUCUCAUCUCUCCCAUCUCUCUCCCACCGCGUCUCCUCCUCGUCUCACCACCACCAUGGUCGCCCUCCCACCACCACCACGAUAUUUGGGGAGGCAAGGUUCAUGGUGGCUGGAGGAGGCAAGGUCCAUGGCGGCUUGAGGAUGGAAGUCUCGUGGCGGCUGGAGGAGGCAAGGCUCUUGGCUGUUCGAAGAGGGGCAAUGCUAUGGAGGAGGCGGCUGCAGUCUUUUUCUUUUUUCUUUUAGGUUUAGAUUUUUGUUUAGGUUUAGAUUUGGUUUAGUGUUACCCGGGUUAGAGAAAUUUUAGUGGUCUGAGUUUAUCUUAUAAUUUCUGGUUAGUUUUGUAAACCGGGAUUAAUUUGUAAACCAAUUUUAACAUAUAAAUAAAAUUUAUUUUAAUUUCAA